rnacentral:rRNA from 1 species
AGAACGAACGCUGGCGGCAGGCUUAACACAUGCAAGUCGAACGCCCCGCAAGGGGAGUGGCAGACGGGUGAGUAACGCGUGGGAACGUGCCCUUCGCUUCGGGAUAGCCUCGGGAAACUGGGAGUAAUACCGAAUACGCCGUAUUGGGAAAGAUUUAUCGGCGAAGGAUCGGCCCGCGUUGGAUUAGCUAGUUGGCGGUGUAAUGGACCACCAAGGCGACGAUCCAUAGCUGGUCUGAGAGGAUGAUCAGCCACACUGGGACUGAGACACGGCCCAGACUCCUACGGGAGGCAGCAGUGGGGAAUCUUGGACAAUGGGCGCAAGCCUGAUCCAGCCAUGCCGCGUGAGUGAAGAAGGCCUUAGGGUUGUAAAACUCUUUCGCCGGUGAAGAUAAUGACGGUAACCGGAGAAGAAGCCCCGGCUAACGUUCGCGCCAGCAGCCGC